rnacentral:rRNA from 1 species
AUACGGAGGGUGCAAGCGUUACUCGGAAUCACUGGGCGUAAAGCGCGCGCAGGCGGCUUGGUAAGUUGGAUGUGAAAGCCUACGGCUCAACCGUAGAACUGCAUCCAAAACUGCCAAGCUAGAGUGUGGGAGAGGAAGAUGGAAUUAGUUGUGUAGGGGUAAAAUCCGUAGAGAUAACUAGGAAUACCAAAAGCGAAGGCAAUCUUCUGGAACACUACUGACGCUGAGGCGCGAAAGCGUGGGGAGCAAACAGGAUUAGAAACCCCAGUGUCC